UACGGAGGGGGCUAGCGUUGUUCGGAAUUACUGGGCGUAAAGCGCCCGUAGGCGGCUUUGUAAGUUAGAGGUGAAAGCCCGGGGCUCAACUCCGGAACUGCCUUUAAGACUGCAUCGCUUGAAUCCGGGAGAGGUGAGUGGAAUUCCGAGUGUAGAGGUGAAAUUCGUAGAUAUUCGGAAGAACACCAGUGGCGAAGGCGGCUCACUGGACCGGUAUUGACGCUGAGGUGCGAAAGCGUGGGGAGCAAACAGG
rnacentral:rRNA from 1 species